GACCAUCAGAGAAUAUGGACUCGGAAAAGCAUCAGUGAUGGUCCAAGGAGAGGAUCAAUGACGAACACAGGGUCGCUCCAGCGGGCAGCACCUGAGCAAGGGCAGGGCUGCUAUCUUUCGAUGAAGGCUGCACGCGCUAACUGCUUAUGGAAAACUCCCAUAAUUCCAGCUCUUAAUUAAUCAAUAACAAAGAAGGAUUAGAAAGUCGAUCACUUGUAGACUGAACAUAACCGACUAGCGCUGCAUACCUCAUACGCCGACCGAAUAUUAAUACAUGUCUCCACGACCUC